rnacentral:lncRNA from 1 species
GUGGUUACCCGUCGCUGUAAAUGGACAGAUAAUUAUCCAAACAAAAAAAAUGCAGGAAAUAUUCUGGAUCCCCGAGCAGUCUUCUCAACUGGUACGAGGAAAAGUCAAGAAAAGCCCCUUUGAGAAGGUCUCCCUGGAAGACAGGCCCAUGAAGAGCUGAAGAAAGAAGUGGGAGGACAGAGGAGAACUCACACAAGGGGAUCAAGCUGGUGAAAACUGGAGAACCAGGCAGGGCCUGUGGAAGACUUCAUCUUGGCAGAGGGAAAAGGCUUCCAAGAAUCUUCCAGUUAUGCAAAGGCAAGGCCCAGCGGUACAUCUGGACAGAGUAGGGAUUGAGACAAGGAUGAAGGGGCUUUUCCGAAUAAAGUUGUGUUUUCCUUUGAUGAAAA